rnacentral:lncRNA from 1 species
GCGCUUUCCGCCCGCCAGGCAGCCGCGACCGCGCCUCCCUCUGCCCAGCCCUCCAGCAGCCCCUAAAUAUUCCCUGGGUGCCCAGGGGGCGGAAACGGACUUUGCAGCGCGCCGUCAGGCCCUGGCCCACCUUCCCGCGCAAAUCGUGCGAGGAGAUGCCUGGACCCGGGUCAGCGCCUCUCGGUCCCGCCGGCCCCGCGCAGCCUAAGGAGCGCAUGCGCGCUCGGGGACGCUGCCCUUGCGCGGGGUGCCUGGGCUGCGGGAGGCAAACGCAGCGGGAAAUCUGCCGGAGGACACUGCCCUCGACACAAGGGUCAGGGAAGGCUUCCUAGGGAUAUUUAAGCAGCGUUCUGGGAGAGGACAGCACAUGUGGACAGAUGGAACCGACGAUGCAAAGGCCAAGAGGGCGACCAUUGGGGGAAAUUGCCAGCAUGAUGUGCCACUCAAGUAUUGAGUUCAAGAUGAAAAUUCAGCGAGCCACCCAUGGUCAUGCAGCAGGCUAUUGGCAGGGCGUUUGGGCUGCCAGGAGGAGCAGGAACACAGUGCUUUUGUGGUCACCAUAGGUGACCUGAGUCAUUGCAGUCAGGUAAGUCAUGGGGAAGCAUCUAGUCCAGUAGAUGCUUAAUCACUGCUACUUCUUUGAACACCAGACCCUAAGCUGAGAAGCCACGGGUCGCCCAUAGUCUCUUUCCUCAAGGAGCUUAGAGCCUGGGAAGAGCAAGAGAUGGACACAGAAACAUUCUCGGCCUCAGUAGGGGUAAGAGGCAGCCCAGGGACUGGUGGGGGUACCCAGAAGAAGAUGGGCUUGAACUCCUGCUGUUGGGCAGUCUUGGUGCUUGGUGGUGAACUUGGCGUGAAAGGUAUUUUAAGGAAGGCUUCACUCAGGAGGUGACAUUUGCACUGGUCUUUGGUAGCUCUGCAGGAGUUUUCUGGGUUUUUUUUUGUUUGUUUUUUGUUGUUUGCCUUUUAGGGCCGCACCCAAGGCAUGUGGAGGUUCCCAGGUUAGGGGUCCAACCGGAGCUACAGCUGCCAGCCUACGCUACAGCCACAGCAAACGCAGGAUCCGAGCCAUGUUUGCGACCUAAACCAUAGCUCACAGCAAAGCCAGAUAAAGAUCCUUGACCCGUGGAGCGAGGCCAGGGAUCGAACCCGCAACCUCUUGGUUACUAGUCUGAUUCGUUUCCACUGCGCCAUGAGGGGAACGUCUCUGCAGGAAUUUUCUAAGCCGAGAGGUCAGAGACGGGUAUUUUAAGAAAAGGCGGGAACAUAUGUAAGGCCUUGGGGACAGGGAAAAGAUGAAGUGUUUCGGGGGCUGGUAAGUAUUUUGCUGUGUAGGAAUGGAAAGGGCCUUGAGUUAGGCUGAAGGUGCGUGGAACCCGGGGGCAAUAGGGAGCCAUGAAAUGUUUCUGAGCAAGAGAGCGAUGUGAUCAGAACCCGUUAGAGAAGGGAACUUUGUGUCUUCGGGAAGCCUCCUGGAGAGGCCGGGGAGGGGAAUCUGGGGCCUAGGGCCCCGUAGGAACCCCUUGCUAUGCUUCAUUCCACUGGGACUUGUUUGGGUCAGAG